rnacentral:rRNA from 1 species
AGUUGCCAGCAUUCAGUUGGGCACUCUAAAGGGACUGCCGGUGGUCGAAACCGGAGGAAGGUGGGGAUGACGUCAAGUCCUCAUGGCCUUUAUGUCUAGGGCUACACACGUACUACAAUGGCAGGUACAAAGGGCAGCGACACAGCGAUGUGAUGCGAAUCCCGAAAAGCCUGUCUCAGUCCGGAUCGGAGUCUGCAACUCGACUCCGUGAAGUUGGAAUCGCUAGUAAUCGCGGAUCAGCAUGCCGCGGUGAAUACGUUCCCGGGCCUU